UACGUAGGGUGCGAGCGUUAAUCGGAAUUACUGGGCGUAAAGCGCGCGCAGGCGGUGAUGUAAGACCGAUGUGAAAUCCCCGGGCUUAACCUGGGAAUGGCAUUUGAGACUGCAUAGCUAGGGUGCGGAAGAGGGAAGCGGAAUUUCCGGUGUAGCGGUGAAAUGCGUAGAUAUCGGAAGGAACACCAGUGGCGAAAGCGGCUUCCUGGUCCAGCACCGACGUUCAGGCACGAAAGCGUGGGGAGCAAACAGG
rnacentral:rRNA from 1 species